GACGAACGCUGGCGGCGUGCUUAACACAUGCAAGUCGAACGGAAAGGCCCUGCUUUUGUGGGGUGCUCGAGUGGCGAACGGGUGAGUAACACGUGAGUAACCUGCCCUUGACUUUGGGAUAACUUCAGGAAACUGGGGCUAAUACCGGAUAGGAGCUCCUGCUGCAUGGUGGGGGUUGGAAAGUUUCGGCGGUUGGGGAUGGACUCGCGGCUUAUCAGCUUGUUGGUGGGGUAGUGGCUUACCAAGGCUUUGACAGGUAGCCGGCCUGAGAGGGUGACCGGCCACAUUGGGACUGAGAUACGGCCCAGAUUCCUACGGGAGGCAGCAGUGGGGAAUAUUGCAAAAUGGGCGGAAGCCUGAUGCAGCAACGCCGCGUGCGGGAUGACGGCCUUCGGGUUGUAAACCGCUUUCGCCUGUGACGAAGCGUGAGUGACGGUAAUGGGUAAAGAAGCACCGGCUAACUACGUG
rnacentral:rRNA from 1 species